AGUCACUGACAUUAGAUACCCGUGUAGUCCUAGCCGUAAACGAUACUCGCUAGGUGUCGGCCACGGUGCGACCGUUGUCGGUGCCGUAGGGAAGCCGUGAAGCGAGCCACCUGGGAAGUACGGCCGCAAGGCUGAAACUUAAAGGAAUUGGCGGGGGAGCACCACAACGGGUGGAGCUUGCGGUUUAAUUGGAUUCAACGCCGGAAAUCUUACCGGGACCGACAGCAAUAUGAAGGCCAGGCUGAAGACUUUGCCGGAUUAGCUG
rnacentral:rRNA from 1 species